rnacentral:rRNA from 1 species
UAGCCGUAAACGAUACUCGCUAGGUGUCGGCCACGGUGCGACCGUUGUCGGUGCCGUAGGGAAGCCGUGAAGCGAGCCACCUGGGAAGUACGGCCGCAAAGGACUGAAACUUAAAGGGAAUUGGCGGGGGAGCACCACAACGGGUGGAGCUUUGCGGUUUAAUUGGAUUCAACGCCGGAAAUCUUACCGGGACCGACAGCAACAUGAAGGCCAGGCUGAAGACUUUGCCGGAUUAGCUGAGAGGAGGUGCAUGGCGUAGACGUCU